CCUGCAUCCUCAGCAUCUCAAGGUUUGCAGAGGUGGGCUGCAGUGACCUUCGCUCAGUCCCUACAUUAGAAGAUGGCGUCCAAAAGACUCCUGGAGGUAAGUGGAGGUUGCCAUGACCCAUGGACUUAACUCUAGAACCUAGAUUAAUGGUAUCACCAAAGAGCUAUCCAAAGUCACAGAAAGGGUUGCGCUUUGCCCAAGUUUUUGGAAGUGGAGAAGGAAUGCCAAAAAGGAAAAUUUGGUGUUCUAUAUUGCAGUUGAUUGAAUAUUAUUUUGAACAGAGGAUUCCUUUUGAUUUAUGUACACGUGAAUCUGGGAGAGGCUUCAUUUAUAUUUCUACAUGCUGGGUGUUAUCUUUCUACUAUAGUUUGGAAGAGAAAAGGGAAAACAGAAGAAGAAAAGAGAGCGUGAGCGGCUGGCCCAGUGGAGGAGAAGGGGGUGCCGGAUGGAGCUGGUUUUUCUGCAGAGCUGAUGCAGGGAGCUCUGCUGCCCACCUGUCCACAGAGUCCUUCAGAGGGAAGGGCUGCUCCCAGGUGCAGGUGAGGGAGAGACAGGCGGCCUGGCGGAGCUCUGCUCCUGGAGGAAGGAUGGAUGAG